rnacentral:rRNA from 1 species
AAUNUNGNACAAUGGGCGCAAGCCUGAUCCAGCCAUNCCGCGUGAGUGAUGAAGNCNUUAGGGUNGUAAAGCUCUUUCGCCAGAGAUGAUAAUGACAGUAUCUGGUAAAGAAACCCCGNCUAACUCCGUGCCAGCAGCCGCGGUAAUACGGAGGGGGUUAGCGUUGUUCGGAAUUACUGGGCGUAAAGCGCGCGUAGGCGGACUAGUCAGUCAGGGGUGAAAUCCCGGGGCUCAACCCCGGAACUGCCUUUGAUACUGCUAGUCUAGAGUUCGGGAGAGGUGAGUGGAAUUCCGAGUGUAGAGGUGAAAUUCGUAGAUAUUCGGAGGAACACCAGUGGCGAAGGCGGCUCACUGGCUCGAUACUGACGCUGAGGUGCGAAAGUGUGGGGAGCAAACAGGAUUAGAUACCCUGGUAGUCCACACCGUAAACGAUGAAUGCCAGUCGUCGGGUAGCAUGNNANNNNGUGACACACCUAACGGAUUAAGCAUUCCGCCUGGGNNNNNNGGUCGCAAGAUUAAAACUCAAAGGAAUUGACGG